rnacentral:rRNA from 1 species
GUGGGGAAUCUUCCGCAAUGGACGAAAGUCUGACGGAGCAACGCCGCGUGAGUGAAGAAGGUUUUCGGAUCGUAAAGCUCUUUCGUUAGGGACGAACGUGCUCUUUGUGAAUAAUGAGGAGUAAUGGCGGUACCUAAAUAAGAAGCCACGGCUAACUACGUGCCAGCAGCCGCGGUAAUACGUAGGUGGCAAGCGUUGUCCGGAAUUAUUGGGCGUAAAGCGCGCGCAGGCGGGAUAUCAAGUCUGUCUUAAAAGUGCGAGGCUCAACCUCGUGAGGGGACAGAAACUGGUAUUCUUGAGUGUCGGAGAGGAAAGUGGAAUUCCAAGUGUAGCGGUGAAAUGCGUAGAGAUUUGGAAGAACACCAGUGGCGAAGGCGACUUUCUGGACGAUGUCUGACGCUGAGGCGCGAAAGCUAGGGGAGCGAACGGGAUUAGAAACCCCAGUAGUCC